UUGGCUUAGAAGCAGCCAUCAUUUAAAGAAAGCGUAAUAGCUCACUGGUCGAGUCGGCCUGCGCGGAAGAUGUAACGGGGCUAAACCAUGCACCGAAGCUGCGGCAGCGACGCUUAUGCGUUGUUGGGUAGGGGAGCGUUCUGUAAGCCUGCGAAGGUGUACUGUGAGGUAUGCUGGAGGUAUCAGAAGUGCGAAUGCUGACAUAAGUAACGAUAAAGCGGGUGAAAAGC
rnacentral:rRNA from 1 species